CAGCAGCCGCGGGAAUACGAAGGGGGCUAGCGUUGCUCGGAAUGACUGGGCGUAAAGGGCGCGUAGGCGGUUCGUACAGUUGGAUGUGAAAUUCCUGGGCUUAACCUGGGGGCUGCAUUCAAUACGUGCGGGCUUGAGUGUGGAAGAGGGUUGUGGAAUUCCCAGUGUAGAGGUGAAAUUCGUAGAUAUUGGGAAGAACACCGGUGGCGAAGGCGGCAACCUGGUCCAUAACUGACGCUGUGGCGCGAAAGCGUGGGGAGCAAACAGGAUUAGAUACCCGCGUAGUCCAUGUCUCUUAUAC
rnacentral:rRNA from 1 species